UACGGAGGGGGCUAGCGUUGUUCGGAAUUACUGGGCGUAAAGCGCGCGUAGGCGGAUCUGCAAGUCGGGGGUGAAAUCCCGAGGCUCAACCUCGGAACUGCCUUCGAUACUGCGGGUCUCGAGUCCGGGAGAGGUGAGUGGAAUUCCUAGUGUAGAGGUGAAAUUCGUAGAUAUCGGGAGGAACACCGGUGGCGAAGGCGGCGACCUGGGUAGAUACUGACGCUGAGGUGCGAAAGCGUGGGGAGCAAACAGG
rnacentral:rRNA from 1 species